UAAGAUUUCUCAUUUAUUUUAAAAGAUUAGUCUCAAGUGUUGUGUUAAAGCGACGGAAAGCAGAUGAAUCUAAUUAUCUAGUUUGAUCUUUUAUCUAUGAGUCUUGAUUUGCCUAUGUUUCCUAAACAAACAAAAAUAUAAAACAAUAACCAAUAACAAGGUUUGUUUCGAUAGAUAUGUAUAUACAGAGUAAUGAACAAUAAUAUUUAUCGUCUAACAAUGAGAGGGAGGAAGGGAUGGACUCUCGAUAUUUGGGCCAGUAGGUAGUCAAGCCCAACAAAAUUCUCACAAGUAGCAGACUCCAAAGAGCAGGAAAAGAAAUGACCCAGGUCUGGAAGUUGGGCUUGAUCUUCAAAUGGUCUCAGCAGGCCCAAUUCAAAUAUGCAUGGUAAAAAGAAAGAGGGAACAAUUAGUAUACAUCAACAUAAGAAGCAAAAUAAAUUAUGGAAGGUAAGUAAAGAUCUGAAAAGACAUAGUAUGAUUCUAGUUUUCAUUUUUCUGCCAACCCUAUGAAGAUUAGUUAAGGUUAAUGAUCAAACGCUUAGGGUGAACCAUAUUUUAUUUAUGAAAUCUCCUAUGGACACCUUACACUUCAGAGUUCACAAGGGUCUCAAGGACCCCGAGCAGUGCUUGUUCCAGGGAGGAGUACCUCGAUAACAAAACAAGUUCACACCCAAAUACCCUUAGUCAUCCACUCUUACUAUUCCUCAAAGGCUUAGACAUAAAUGAAACUGUCAACUACUUGAAAUAAAUAGCUAUAGAGGACAUUACAUUAUCAUUAGAGUACCAAGAUAUGAACGGCUCAGAACCAUUCACAAUAUUAACCUUGGGGCAUGUUGGCAGAACACUAAUACAAAGAUAGAUCACUACAACUAAACUUCUAGUAUUCCAAUAAUAUCAGGGGCCUUAAGGCUGAUCCUAGCAUGCAUAAGAGAACUUAAGUGGAUCAUAACUAAGAUGCAGUCAUAGAACAAAGAGAACUAGUUGCAUAUUAUCAGUAGGUAGGUGCUAGAUUUAAUCACCUCAAAUUCAAAAAUGCCCUAACUUUGUUCAUUCUAUUAAAGGUUUAGUACUUUAGGAUCUUUAAAUAGAUUCAGAUUACUUAGAGCAAGUCAAUAGGUAUUUUAAUAGAUUUUCAGAACAGUUUAGAGCAAAUAUAUAUAUAUAUAACUGAGAUUCCACAUCACUAAGCACUUAUACUUGCAGCCUUGUUCAGACUUUCUAAGGAUGAGAGCAACCAACAGGGACACCAACAUGAAUAUAAAGAUUAGUUUAGUCUUUUUAGACCUAAUGACAUGAUGUCUUGUUGUAACAACACAUAGUCUAUCAGAUUUUCAAACUACCAGAUCCAAACUAUUUUAGAUUCUCAAUUAAGUUCUUCUAUAAACAGUGAUGUCAACAAACAUGAGAUGGCAAACAAUGACAGUCAUUUCAAUUUGCAAGGGGUAAGGCAAACAUAUCACAAUGAGUUUACUUGAACAUAUGAGUAGUUCUACUAGCAAGUUACACCAACAAACUUUCAUUUUAGAUCCUACAUGCAUAAUACAUGUUCAUCAAUAUUCAGUCAAGUUAUUGAGUUAUUGAGGCAGGCAGUACUCAAGUUGACAAGAGGAGUCUUCCUAAACAGUGUCUUGAGCAUUACAUGAUCUUGAGAGAACUAGAAAACAUAAAUGGCCAAAACAACAAGUAGAUAAUUAAUAUCAUUUUAGAUGAACAAAUAAGAUUAUAGUGAUACCUUAGGUCAACAUUUGUCAAGUAUUCACAAUUUAUGAGGCUAUCAUGAUAGACUACUUUCUUUUAGCUGAACAAAACCAACAUGAGGCCAAAUAUGGCUGUUAUAUAAAGUUUCCAACUUAGGCAGAUAGAUUAGCAUAAUAGGGUAGGCAUGCUGUUGGGAAGACCUUUUGAAUUACCAAGGAAUCACAUGCAAGUUGACGUAGUAGUUUGAACAUGGAACUUUCUCAACUAAAGGGAAUAUGGAGGUCCAUGAACAUCACUGGAUCAACAAAAAUCAAGCAAGUGAGUGUAGAUUCAAGCAUAGAGGUCAAACAUGAGUCAUUUAAUAAAUUUAGAAAUAUAAGUGAUAUACAGCUACAUCACAAAGCUCAGACAGGCUAUGGGAGUAUCAGAAGGUAAAAGUAUACAUUUCAGCAGGUAAAAGAAACAAGGUGAAGAAGGGUACGAGGUACCCAGUUAGUGAAGAUUAUCAAUGGGUAGUGGGCAGGCCAUGUGAUAGCUAUGCUAACAGGUUCACCACAUUAUUCCAUACUAGAAUGAUAUACUUUCAUGAAUUACUAAAUAUGCAGAACAAACAUGGUUUCAACUACAGGACUGUCAACCAAGGUCAUCAAGCAGACAAAUCAAAUGUAAGACAUAAACUAUAAUUAGAAUCACUUUUUAUUGAACCAAAACAAUAUGAAAUAGCAUCACAAACAUAAGGAUCAAUAUAGCAUAGUGCAAAAUAUGUAAAGUUUUAACAGAACAUCAAGAGGAGCUUAAAAACACAACUCAAUCGAUUUAGCUAACAUGUUAGUAUAGCUAUUAUUUAACUGACAUGGAUGGAACACACAUAGUAUAAACAUAAGGUUUAGCCCAACUAAUCAUAAGGUUCAACAGGAUUUGUUCAUAAGAGUAUCAACUACACAGAAAUAUUUUAUCUAGCCAAGUUAUGAGGGAUGAAAUUCAUUAGCAACAUAGAUUGGAUAGCAGUAUCAGAACAACCUAACUUAUCAGGAACUUAUCAUCUCAACAAUGAAAAUGGCAUGAAAAAAUAGAACAUAAUAAGUAUAGUCAUAUACCACUAAUGUAUAUCAUAAACGAAAGGUGAUUAACAGAAAAAAUAUCACAAAAUUUCACAAUUAAGAUAUAGAGACAGGGUCAACAUACACUGACCUUCUUUAGAGCAGCAAACCAAGUAGGAGUCGAUUAUUAACUAUUUUGGGAUCCAAACCAACAACGAUCCACUCACAGGGAUUGGACUCAAAUAGAAAUGAAAAGAUGAAAAGAGAAAUAUUAGAGGGGAACUACUGGAACUUAAACUUAGUAGGAAAAACUUAAACUUUUAAUUCUUUCAGUGUAUUUUCCAGUGAUGUUAGGUGUGUAUUGGUGUCUAUUGAUGUCUGUUUGGUGAAGACAUUGAAUUCCCUAUUAUAGCGACAUUCAAGCCACUUAGGAUUUCGAUUGAAUUCAAAAUGGUAGUGAAGAGUGAUGAUAGAUGGAUGACGAUAGCAAGGAGGGUAAAAAUCAGAAGAAAAGAGGGGGAAAUAGUGAAGAUUCUUAUCUGCGCAUGAGGAGGUCGACCGUUGAAGCCAUCGGACUGUCGGUCAAACCCUAAUGUCCAAAAGUCAGUGUGUUUGACCUCUGAACCUCGAAAAAUAAUGAUGAAGUUGAAGAUAAUGGUCAUGCAUGCUCCGAUUCGACGGAACAAAGGAAGGAUUAAUGGAAUCUUAGGUUGCAUAGUUUAGGUCUAGGGUUUCGGAUUUGGGGGUUUUGAAUUGUAGAGAUGAAGGGGAAAUUUCAGGCGGAAUUGAGGCAUUGCAGGGACAGAAGAGAUGAUUUAGGUGUUUGGAGUGACCUUGCACAAAUUUGUACAAGGUCUUGGAUUGAUGGGAUUGAUGGGAAUGAGAGAACAGAGAGAGUGAAUGGGGAAAUUAGGGCGGCCAGACGGUGAUAGAAUUAUUAGGGUUAGUGGUUCUUUUGGGUCUAAAGUGAGGGACAGGAUCUAAGCCGUUAGAUCUUUUGAUCAGCGGCUCCGAUUUUUCGGACAAUAGAAAUUAGAUAAAGGAUUUAUUAUGGAAAAACGACAGUUGUUGGAUCUUUGCAAUCCAACAGUUGAGAUGAGAUUCGGUGAAUGUUUGGAAAUAAAAGAAAAAUAGGGGUUAAUUAUGGACCGUUGAUGGAUUGGGUCAACAGUCGAGAUCUUUUGUGUUUCUUAUGUGAG
rnacentral:lncRNA from 1 species